rnacentral:rRNA from 2 species
UCAGGAUGAACGCCGGCGGUGUGCCUAAUACAUGCAAGUCGUACGCACUGGCCCAACUGAUUGAUGGUGCUUGCACCUGAUUGACGAUGGAUCACCAGUGAGUGGCGGACGGGUGAGUAACACGUAGGUAACCUGCCCCGGAGCGGGGGAUAACAUUUGGAAACAGAUGCUAAUACCGCAUAACAACAAAAGCCACAUGGCUUUUGUUUGAAAGAUGGCUUUGGCUAUCACUCUGGGAUGGACCUGCGGUGCAUUAGCUAGUUGGUAAGGUAACGGCUUACCAAGGCGAUGAUGCAUAGCCGAGUUGAGAGACUGAUCGGCCACAAUGGAACUGAGACACGGUCCAUACUCCUACGGGAGGCAGCAGUAGGGAAUCUUCCACAAUGGGCGCAAGCCUGAUGGAGCAACACCGCGUGAGUGAAGAAGGGUUUCGGCUCGUAAAGCUCUGUUGUUGGAGAAGAACGUGCGUGAGAGUAACUGUUCACGCAGUGACGGUAUCCAACCAGAAAGUCACGGCUAACUACGUGCCAGCAGCCGCGGUAAUACGUAGGUGGCAAGCGUUAUCCGGAUUUAUUGGGCGUAAAGCGAGCGCAGGCGGUUGCUUAGGUCUGAUGUGAAAGCCUUCGGCUUAACCGAAGAAGUGCAUCGGAAACCGGGCGACUUGAGUGCAGAAGAGGACAGUGGAACUCCAUGUGUAGCGGUGGAAUGCGUAGAUAUAUGGAAGAACACCAGUGGCGAAGGCGGCUGUCUGGUCUGCAACUGACGCUGAGGCUCGAAAGCAUGGGUAGCGAACAGGAUUAGAUACCCUGGUAGUCCAUGCCGUAAACGAUGAGUGCUAGGUGUUGGAGGGUUUCCGCCCUUCAGUGCCGGAGCUAACGCAUUAAGCACUCCGCCUGGGGAGUACGACCGCAAGGUUGAAACUCAAAGGAAUUGACGGGGGCCCGCACAAGCGGUGGAGCAUGUGGUUUAAUUCGAAGCUACGCGAAGAACCUUACCAGGUCUUGACAUCUUGCGCUAACCUUAGAGAUAAGGCGUUCCCUUCGGGGACGCAAUGACAGGUGGUGCAUGGUCGUCGUCAGCUCGUGUCGUGAGAUGUUGGGUUAAGUCCCGCAACGAGCGCAACCCUUGUUACUAGUUGCCAGCAUUAAGUUGGGCACUCUAGUGAGACUGCCGGUGACAAACCGGAGGAAGGUGGGGACGACGUCAGAUCAUCAUGCCCCUUAUGACCUGGGCUACACACGUGCUACAAUGGACGGUACAACGAGUCGCAAGCUCGCGAGAGUAAGCUAAUCUCUUAAAGCCGUUCUCAGUUCGGACUGUAGGCUGCAACUCGCCUACACGAAGUCGGAAUCGCUAGUAAUCGCGGAUCAGCAUGCCGCGGUGAAUACGUUCCCGGGCCUUGUACACACCGCCCGUCACACCAUGGGAGUUUGUAACGCCCAAAGUCGGUGGCCUAACCUUUAUGGAGGGAGCCGCCUAA